GAUUUAAUCCUGGAGGAAUUCAUGAUGUUCGGUCUGGCGGUGCUCUACUCACCGUUGCAUUUCAGAUCUUAGUUGAUUCAGUUCCAACUGCGAAACUCUCUCUUGGAUCAGUGGCAACAGUAAACAAUCUAAUUAAGUGCACAGUUGAAAGGAUCAAGACUGCAGUGACAAGCGAGAAUGAUGCAUGAUUGAAAAAAGUCUUAUUCUAGGGAAAAUAAUGCAAGCUUACAUGAUCCUUACAUGAUCCUGUAACCUUACAGAAGUCAAGUCAAGAACGCACCUUACAUGAUCCUUGCCUCGUGGUGUUAAUUUGUUAAGGCAGAGGAGUGAAAGGCCAGGCAUUUCAUCACCAACACGCAAGGGUUAAGGUUCGGGCAUUGACUUUGGCUAGCAUUAACAAAGACAAAACUGAACCCAGACCUAGCAGUAUAUGUAUCGACUGUCUCCUUCUGAUCACCUUCUGCUUUGUUUCAGGACUAGGAUUGUUAGUGUUAAUGUGCUGCAAAAGUGACCUUUUGUAGCUUGUAAUUGUCUAACCUCUCUUUCUUUGUCUUGUGUAACUGUUUCUAAAGGAGGCAUUAGUAAACCUAUAAUUAACAAACAUUGGUUCUGUUUCUGUUAGCUUUUCACUUUCAGUAAU
rnacentral:misc_RNA from 1 species